rnacentral:rRNA from 1 species
GCAUAUCAAUAAGCGGAGGAAAAGAAACCAACAGGGAUUGCCCCAGUAACGGCGAAGUGAAGCGGCAACAGCUUCAAAUUUGAAAUCUGGCCUCGUGCCCGAGUUGUAAUUUGUAGAGGAUGCUUUUGGCGACGCGCCUUCCGAGUUCCCUGGAACGGGACGCCAUAGAGGGUGAGAGCCCCGUCCGGUCGUGCGCCUAGCCUCUGUAAAGCUCCUUCGACGAGUCGAGUAGUUUGGGAAUGCUGCUCUAAAUGGGAGGUAUACGUCUUCUAAAGCUAAAUACCGGCCAGAGACCGAUAGCGCACAAGUAGAGUGAUCGAAAGAUGAAAAGCACUUUGAAAAGAGGGUUAAAUAGUACGUGAAAUUGCUGAAAGGGAAGCGCUUAUGACCAGACUUGGGCGCGGCGGAUCAUCCGGCGUUCUCGCCGGUGCACUCCACCGCCCCAGGCCAGCAUCAGUUCGCGCCGGGGGACAAAGGCUUCGGGAAUGUGGCUCUCUCGGGAGUGUUAUAGCCCGCUGCGUAAUACCCUGGCGCGGACUGAGGUCCGCGCUCUGCAAGGAUGCUGGCGUAAUGGUCAUCAGUGACCCGUCUUGAAACACGGACCAAGGAGUCGUCUUCGUAUGCGAGUGUUCGGGUGUCAAACCCCUACGCGGAAUGAAAGUGAACGUAGGAGAGAGCUUCGGCGCAUCUCCGACCGAUCCUGAUGUUCUCGGAUGGAUUUGAGUAAGAGCAUACGGGGCCGGACCCGAAAGAAGGUGAACUAUGCCUGUGUAGGGUGAAGCCAGAGGAAACUCUGGUGGAGGCUCGCAGCGGUUCUGACGUGCAAAUCGAUCGUCAAACAUGGGCAUGGGGGGCGAAAGACUAAUCGAACCUUCUAGUAGCUGGUUUCCGCCGA